UCGCCUGUUUAUCAAAAACAUGGUUUCUUGUAUUUUAUUUAAGAAAUUUGACCUGCCCGCUGAAUAAAAUUUUGAAGGGCCGCAGUAUAUUGACUGUGCAAAGGUAGCAUAAUCAUUAGUCUUUUAAUUGAAGGCUGGUAUGAAUGGUUGGAUGAGGUAAAUUCUGUUUUAUGUUAAUUUGUGUUGAAUUUAGAUUUUAAGUAAAAAGACUUAGAUGAUAUUAAGGGACGAGAAGACCCUAUAGAGUUUAAUAAAUGUAUUAAUUAGUUGAGUUAUGAAUGUAAUUUUUUAUUAUUAUAAAAUUUAUUUAAUUGGGGUGAUUGAAAGAUAAAUGUAACUCUUUUUUAUAUUUAAUAUUUUGAUUAGUUAUUUGAUCCAUAUUUAAUGAUUAAAAGAUUAAAUUACCUUAGGGAUAACAGCAUAAUUCUUUUUGAGAGUUCUUAUCGAGAAGGGAGAUUGUGACCUCGAUGUUGGAUUAAGAUUAGUUUUGGGUGUAGAUGUUCAAGAACUAGGUCUGUUCGACCUUAGAAAUCUUACAUGAUCUGAGUUCAAACCGGAGA
rnacentral:rRNA from 1 species